GACGAACGCUGGCGGCGUGCCUAACACAUGCAAGUCGAGCGAUGAAAUCCCUUCGGGGAUGGAUUAGCGGCGGACGGGUGAGUAACACGUGGGUAACCUGCCUCAAAGUGGGGGAUAGCCUUCCGAAAGGAAGAUUAAUACCGCAUAAUAUUAGAUUUUCGCAUGAAGAAUUAAUUAAAGGAGCAAUCCGCUUUGAGAUGGACCCGCGGCGCAUUAGCUAGUUGGUGAGGUAAUAGCUCACCAAGGCGACGAUGCGUAGCCGAACUGAGAGGGUGAUCGGCCACAUUGGAACUGAGACACGGUCCAGACUCCUACGGGAGGCAGCAGUGGGGAAUAUUGCACAAUGGGGGAAACCCUGAUGCAGCAACGCCGCGUGAGUGAUGAAGGUCUUCGGAUUGUAAAGCUCUGUCUUUUGGGACGAUAAUGACGGUACCGAAGGAGGAAGCCACGGCUAACUACGUGCCAGCCGCCGCGGUAACAC
rnacentral:rRNA from 1 species